rnacentral:rRNA from 1 species
AGAGCGAACGCUGGCGGCAGGCUUAACACAUGCAAGUCGAGCGCCCGUAGCAAUACGGGAGCGGCAGACGGGAUAGUAACACGUGGGAACGCGCCCUUCGGUUCGGAAUAACUCAGGGAAACUUGAGCUAAUACCGGAUACGCCCUUACGGGGAAAGAUUUAUUGCCGAAGGAACGGCCCGCGUCCGAUUAGCUAGUUGGUGAGGUAAUGGCUCACCAAGGCGACGAUCGGUAGCUGGUCUGAGAGGAUGACCAGCAUCACUGGGACUGAGACACGGCCCAGACUCCUACGGGAGGCAGCAGUGGGGAAUAUUGGACAAUGGGCGCAAGCCUGAUCCAGCCAUGCCGCGUGGAUGAUGAAGGCCUUAGGGUUGUAAAGUCCUUUUAACGGGGAAGAUAAUGACGGUACCCGUAGAAUAAGCCCCGGCUAACUUCGUGCCAGCAGCCGC